rnacentral:rRNA from 1 species
GAGUUUGAUCUUGGCUCAGGAUGAACGCUGGCGGCGUGCUUAACACAUGCAAGUCGAACGGAUGUACUAAUACAUUAGUGGCGAAAGGGUGAGUAACGCGUGGGCAACCUGCCUUUUACAGGGGAAUAACAACGUGAAAACGUUGCUAAUACCGCAUAAAACUUAAUAUGGCAUCAUAUAAAGUUGAAAGGGAUUCCGGUAGAAGAUGGGCCCGCGUCCGAUUAGCUAGUUGGUAAGGUAAUGGCUUACCAAGGCGACGAUCGGUAGCCGGACUGAGAGGUUGACCGGCCACAUUGGGACUGAGACACGGCCCAGACUCCUACGGGAGGCAGCAGUGGGGAAUAUUGCACAAUGGACGGAAGUCUGAUGCAGCAACGCCGCGUGAAGGAAGAAGGUCUUCGGAUUGUAAACUUCUUUGAUCUGUGAAGAAAAGAUGACAGUAGCAGAAGAACAAGCCACGGCUAACUACGUGCCAGCAGCCGCGGUAAUACGUAGGUGGCGAGCGUUAUCCGGAAUUACUGGGUGUAAAGGGCGCGUAGGCGGGAUAGCAAGUCAGAUGUGAAAAUUCGAAGCUUAACUUCGAACCUGCAUCUGAAACUGUUAUUCUUGAGUGUCGGAGA